rnacentral:rRNA from 1 species
UACGUAGGGACCAAGCGUUGUUCGGAUUUACUGGGCGUAAAGGGCGCGUAGGCGGCAAUUCAAGUCAUCUGUGAAAUCUCCGGGCUUAACUCGGAACGGUCAGAUGAUACUGCUUUGCUAGAGUGCGGAAGGGGCAAUCGGAAUUCCUGGUGUAGCGGUGAAAUGCGUAGAUAUCAAGAGGAACACCUGAAGUGAAGACGGGUUGCUGGGCCGACACUGACGCUGACAGCGCGAAAGCCAGGGGAGCAAACGGG